UUUCCGUAGGUGAACCUGCGGAAGGAUCAUUAAAGUUAUAGUCCCCCGGCCCUCUGGGCUGGGGUCUUCUAUACCACCCUUUGUUUAUUACACCUUUGUUGCUUUGGCAGGCCUGCCCUCGGGCUGCUGGCUCCGGCCGGCCCGCGUCUGCCAGAGGACCUAAACUCCGUUUGUAUAUGAAGUCUGAGUACUAUAUAAUAGUUAAAACUUUCAACAACGGAUCUCUUGGUUCUGGCAUCGAUGAAGAAGCAGC
rnacentral:misc_RNA from 1 species